AUGGUAUGGAUGAGCCUACAAUCAAGAAGAGCACCGUCAGCUCCAUCUAUGCAAACAUCCUCGUGUUUCGUGUUUCAGACAACGAUGACAGCCCAACAAAUUCUUUUUGUACAAUCCCUUGCAAACUCGUUCAUUGUUUUUGCUACAUCUCCUACGAUGGUGGCUACAGAAAAUCAAAUUGUUGAUGCAAGCAGUGGCCCUAGCACACAUGCCAAGAACACUAGGAAGGAAAGGAUGGCUAAAGUUCCGUCCGUAAAAAUACCAAGGCAAAGAAGCAAAAAGUCGAUGAAGCUGCAACUAUGUAUGAGACGUAUCUUAAGCAUGGUAAACCAUUAA
rnacentral:rRNA from 1 species